AGCAGUUCCACAGGAAUGUCCAGCUGGAAGGGGGGCCGUUACACUGUAAGAGAGUGAGUAGCAGGUCUCACAGUGAACCGGUCUCUUUUCCUGCUGUGUCAUGCCACUCCUGAUGACA
rnacentral:pre_miRNA from 7 species